rnacentral:rRNA from 1 species
AGGACGAACGCUGGCGGCGUGCCUAACACAUGCAAGUCGAACGGGGAUUUGUUUCGGCAGAAUCCUAGUGGCGAACGGGUGAGUAACGCGUAGGCAACCUGCCCUCCGGCCGGGGACAACACUCCGAAAGGGGUGCUAAUACCGGAUACGAAGUCUGUGCCGCAUGGUACGGAUUUGAAAGAUGGCCUCUAUUUAUAAGCUAUCGCCGGGGGAUGGGCCUGCGUCCGAUUAGCUGGUUGGUGGGGUAACGGCCUACCAAGGCGACGAUCGGUAGCCGGUCUGAGAGGAUGAACGGCCACAUUGGGACUGAGACACGGCCCAGACUCCUACGGGAGGCAGCAGUGGGGAAUCUUCCGCAAUGGGCGCAAGCCUGACGGAGCAACGCCGCGUGAGUGAGGAAGUUCUUCGGAACGUAAAGCUCUGUUGUUCCUGACGAACCUCCCUUCUAUCAACAACGGAGGGGACUGACGGUAGGGAACGAGGAAGCCACGGCUAACUACGUGCCAGCAGCCGC